rnacentral:rRNA from 1 species
CCUACGGGAGGCAGCAGUAAGGAAUAUUGGUCAAUGGAGGCAACUCUGAACCAGCCAUGCCGCGUGCAGGAUGACGGCCCUAUGGGUUGUAAACUGCUUUUAUACAAGAGAAAACCCUGGUACGUGUACCAGGUUGAUAGUAUUGUAAGAAUAAGCAUCGGCUAACUUCGUGCCAGCAGCCGCGGUAAGACGAAGGAUGCAAGCGUUAUCCGGAUUCAUUGGGUUUAAAGGGUGCGUAGGCGGACUGAUAAGUCAGUGGUGAAAUCUCUUUGCUUAACAAAGAAACUGCCAUUGAUACUGUCGGUCUAGAGUAUAGAUGACGUUGGCGGAAUAUGACAUGUAGUGGUGAAAUACUUAGAUAUGUCAUAGAACACCGAUUGCGAAGGCAGCUAACGAAACUAUAACUGACGCUGAGGCACGAAAGUGCGGGGAUCAAACAGGAUUAGAUACCCUGGUAGUCCGCACCGUAAACGAUGAUUACUCGUUGUUGGCGAUAUGACAGUCAGCGACCAAGCGAAAGCGAUAAGUAAUCCACCUGGGGAGUACGCCGGNAACGGUGAAACUCAAAGGAAUUGACGGCGNGAGAGNGCGACGGACGACGACGAGGGGAGGAGG